CCUACGGGGGGCUGCAGUGAGGAAUAUUGGUCAAUGGACGAGAGUCUGAACCAGCCAAGUAGCGUGAAGGAUGACUGCCCUAUGGGUUGUAAACUUCUUUUAUAUGGGAAUAAAAUGUUCCACGUGUGGGAUUUUGUAUGUACCAUAUGAAUAAGGAUCGGCUAACUCCGUGCCAGCAGCCGCGGUAAUACGGAGGAUCCGAGCGUUAUCCGGAUUUAUUGGGUUUAAGGGGAGCGUAGGUGGAUUGUUAAGUCAGUUGUGAAAGUUUGCGGCUCAACCGUAAAAUUGCAGUUGAAACUGGCAGUCUUGAGUACAGUAGAGGUGGGCGGAAUUCGUGGUGUAGCGGUGAAAUGCUUAGAUAUCACGAAGAACUCCGAUGGCGAAGGCAGUUCACUGGACUGCAACUGACACUGAGGCUCGAAAGUGUGGGUAUCAAACAGGAUUAGAUACCCGGGUAGUC
rnacentral:rRNA from 1 species